ensembl:lncRNA
CUCCUCCACACUUUAUUCUUUCGGCACAGGGCUGCCACUUACCAGCUGUUCACAAUUCCUUCACCCCUUCUGCUUUUCAGUACUAGAUUACCACGACAUACACUCAAAGGAUAUUUUCUUCCUUGCAGGAGGUCCCUGCUUCCCAUACCCACUGAAUACAUUUAACAAAAAUACUUUUCUCUCUCUUUUGUAUCUUGGAGGGAAGUCAUCAUAUCUGCACUCAUUCCAUGAUUCAGAUUGGCCAAUCUCUAAUUGCUUGAGUUUGAUUUCUUGUCUGUUUUCAGAUCCCAGGACUGCUGAUUAUUCCUUCUCCUUGGUAGACCAAGCUCACCCACAAACGUUUGGCAUUUCCCGGACAGCCCGUACCCCAUAAGGCCUUAGAGUCUGAAUGCAAGAACGGCUUGAGCGUUGCCUGCUGCGACUGAAGAAGAACUUGAGUGAAAAUAAUCCUCUCUUUUGUUCCGCUUGGGUUGCUUUUUGUUUGCCUGACAGAUGUUCGGCCCCUGUGCGUGCACGCGGAGCA